UACGGAGGGUGCAAGCGUUAUCCGGAUUCACUGGGUUUAAAGGGUGCGUAGGUGGGCAAGUAAGUCAGUGGUGAAAUCUCCGGGGCUUAACCCGGAAACUGCCAUUGAUACUAUUUGUCUUGAAUACUGUGGAGGUCAGCGGAAUAUGUCAUGUAGCGGUGAAAUGCUUAGAUAUGACAUAGAACACCAAUUGCGAAGGCAGCUGGCUACACAAAU
rnacentral:rRNA from 1 species